AGAGGAAUUGGAGAAGUUACUGCUAAUAAUUUCGUGUCAAUUGAAUUUGACUUUCUCUU
rnacentral:tRNA from 1 species